AUUUUCAUUUAAAUCAACUUGGUGAACACAAAAUUAUUUGUGAAAACAAUAAAAAAAUAUUUUCGAAAAUUCGUUAGUUGUGUUUGUGCUUUGAAUUCUAAAACUAUUUGUUAAUUCGGCUUAUUUAAACUAAAAUUUACAGAAAUCGUUUGAGAAUCUCUACACGAUUAUCUUUUCGUUAACAAAUUUAAACUGCGCAAAUCUUUUGAAACAUUUGUGUUUAAAAUUUUGAAAUUUUCAAUCUGAAUUUUUUCUGCUCAUCACUACGCAAUUCAAUUGACCUCAUGGCAUAUAUAAAGGUGAAACAUUCGAAUUUACUGCGUCUGGACGAUGACGCCAUACUGAGUGUUUGGCAUAAACUGGGACCAAUCGAUCGCGUACAAUUAGCUGGCGCCUGUAAACGCUUUCGCAAAAUAUUCGAAGAGCGUGAUGCCGCACAAUAUACAACAUUCAAAAUGGAGUGUCUGUGGCAGGUGUCCGUCAAAGAUAUUGAGAAUUAUGCCAAACUAGUGGGGCCACUCAUACAGGAGUUACGCGCCUACACGCCAUGCGUGGGUAAUGUCAGAGCAAAGAAAUUCCUUAAAGGCAUGACCGGUAAUUGUGAGCUGCUGCGACGUGUGGUCUUCAAAGGUGUACGUGUGGCAUUUCAGUUGUUCGAGUUGUUUGCAAAUGCGAAAUAUCUAACGGAGUUAUAUUUACAAAACUGUCGUCUAACCGAUAAGGAUGUGGAUAUGAUAACAAUGCUGUCCAAUUUAAUGAUACUUGAUUUGUCGAAAAAUAACGAUAUUACCGGUCACGGUUUAAGCGCACUCACCAAUCUGCGCGCUCUCUACUUGUCGAAUUGUAAAAGUUUGAAUCCCAUCAAUUUAGUGCAUGUCUUCAAAUGUGCCAAGCAUCUGUGUAUACUCGACAUCCAACAACCCUAUACGAAUACCAGCCUGGUGCCGGUCUUCCUCGAGCUGGGUCGUUAUUGUCGAAAUUUGGAUAAAUUGCGUGUAACCUUACCGGAACAUCGCCGUUAUGAAUCGCUUGCACGCCUGCCCAAAUUGACACAGAUUUUCGCUUAUGGCUAUGUGCGUCGCUUUCUCAUCGAUUUACGCAAUCAUCGCGCGCAUCAUAUGCAGGUGAUUUUUCUCGAAACUCUGCAGCAUGUACCAAUAGAUGCCACAUUUAUGCUGACACAGUUUCGUGAGUUGAGAAAGCUAGCUUGCGAUGGUGAUUUCGAGUUUACGCCGGGCUGUAUUGAUGGUUUUGAGAAUCUACGCAAACUUACGUGCAUCAAUCUCUACAAAACGGAUGCGUUAACACCCAAGGAUGUGUUGACACUUUUGAAGAAAUGCCCGAGAUUGAAGUUCGUGCAAUUAUUCUUCAAAGUCUUCAUUACCGAAGAGUUCAUAUUCGAAUUGAUCGAGGUGUUGGAGAAACGACCGGUUAAAGUUAAUUUCGUAAUGAAUUUACAGAAGUCCAAUAUACGUCGGGGUAUUACGAAGGAUCCACGUUACCUGAAUGCCAGAGAUACUUUAAAUAUUAUCUUCAGUGCUCAAUGUAUCGAUUGGGAUAAAUAAUUUCUAGAAAAAUUCAUGAAAUUACUUUUUUAAAGAUUUCUGUAUUGUGUGUUACAUUAUAAGUCCAACUAAAAAAGUGAUGAGCAAUUAGACAUCUGGAUUGAGAGUAGAGUGCUUCGCUGGUUCGAAAGAAAAGAAACAGUUAUUCUUCCCAAUAAGAAACGACAAGGGAACACUUAGGACUGCAUAAAAGACGCCAACAAGUAUAUUUAUCAUCGGCUCAAAAGAAAAGCGAAGGUGGAUAAAACAAGGACAGUCAAGUAGCUCUCAAUUACAAGU